GCAUUAAUGGGGUAGUGGUAACCUGGGUCGUUGCCAUAAUGCUUUGUCGACCCGCCGGGGGUUCGAUUCCCUCUUAAUGCA